rnacentral:rRNA from 1 species
GAUAACUUCCAUAUCACGUUGGAAACUACCAGUUCUCGUCCGAUCACUGAAGUCAAGCAACGUUGAGCACGGUUAGUACUUGGUAUUUUUUUAUUUUUUAUUUUCUGUUAAGCUAAAA